rnacentral:sRNA from 1 species
UCCAAUGUACUCAUAAAAAAUUGCGCAG